rnacentral:rRNA from 1 species
GAACGCUGGCGGCGUGCUUAACACAUGCAAGUCGAACGAUGAAGCCCUUCGGGGUGGAUUAGUGGCGAACGGGUGAGUAACACGUGGGCAAUCUGCCCUUCACUCUGGGACAAGCCCUGGAAACGGGGUCUAAUACCGGAUACGACCUGCCGAGGCAUCUUGGCGGGUGGAAAGCUCCGGCGGUGAAGGAUGAGCCCGCGGCCUAUCAGCUUGUUGGUGAGGUAACGGCUCACCAAGGCGACGACGGGUAGCCGGCCUGAGAGGGCGACCGGCCACACUGGGACUGAGACACGGCCCAGACUCCUACGGGAGGCAGCAGUGGGGAAUAUUGCACAAUGGGCGAAAGCCUGAUGCAGCGACGCCGCGUGAGGGAUGACGGCCUUCGGGUUGUAAACCUCUUUCAGCAGGGAAGAAGCGAAAGUGACGGUACCUGCAGAAGAAGCGCCGGCUAACUACGUGCCAGCAGCCGCGGUAAUACGUAGGGCGCAAGCGUUGUCCGGAAUUAUUGGGCGUAAAGAGCUCGUAGGCGG